AUUCCUCCCAAAAGGGUAUGCAUUUCGUGGUAUAUAGUGGCCUUUUUUUUUUAUCUAUCUUUGCAUUUCGUGGAUGAUUUGUUUUGUUAAUGGUGGUGGUGAUAGGAUUGGGUAUGAGAAUUAAAUGUUCAGGAUCAGAAACUAUAUUCAAUUAAAUUGAUGAAUUGAAUUUUUUCUUUUCUUUUGUUCAUUAGUGCAAUAUGCAAGAAGGGAUGGAGGGAAAUCCAUUUGCUAAAACCAUGAAGACUGUUUCAAGAGGCAUGGCUGUUCUUACAGUUCCGUUUACCAUGGAAUUUCCAAAGAGUGUAGGCUGAGUUCCUUAUUUACUGGCUAUCAUUCUUAUGGGUGCCAACAAUAGCAAAGACAUACAUUUAAUCAAGCUUUGUGAGGUAUUACUUUAUGGCACAAGAAGCUUAUAGCAGAAAGAGCAUAUUCAGGCAUUCUGAGUCACCAAGUAAUUAUCAGCCACAAUCGUGAAUCGUAGCUGGUUCUGAAGGUAUCGAAGGCUUCAACCUGCU